rnacentral:rRNA from 1 species
AUUGAACGCUGGCGGCAGGCCUAACACAUGCAAGUCGAGCGGAUGAAAGGAGCUUGCUCCUGGAUUCAGCGGCGGACGGGUGAGUAAUGCCUAGGAAUCUGCCUGGUAGUGGGGGACAACGUUUCGAAAGGAACGCUAAUACCGCAUACGUCCUACGGGAGAAAGCAGGGGACCUUCGGGCCUUGCGCUAUCAGAUGAGCCUAGGUCGGAUUAGCUAGUUGGUGAGGUAAUGGCUCACCAAGGCGACGAUCCGUAACUGGUCUGAGAGGAUGAUCAGUCACACUGGAACUGAGACACGGUCCAGACCCCUACGGGAGGCAGCAGUGGGGAAUAUUGGACAAUGGCGAAAGACCUGAUCCAGCCAUGCCGCGUGUGUGAAGAAGGUCUUCGGAUUGUAAAGUACUUUAAGUUUGGGAGGAAGGGUUGUAGAUUAAUACGUUGCUACUUUGACGUUACCGACAGAAUAAGCACCGGCUAACUUCGUGCCAGCAGCC